rnacentral:lncRNA from 1 species
UUUCUCGCUGCCUUAUUCCCAGAUAUGAUCAGCCCAGUUUUAGAAAUGAGGCAACUGUAACUGAGAGGUCACACAGCCACUGAAUCACCAGGAGUCAGGACAACACUAAUGUUGCAGGAGUUGGAAGCCUGGAGUAGCAAAAGGAAGGAGAAGAUCCCAAGUCUCCAUUUUAACCCAAGGAAUUAAAGACAAAGGAGAACAUUAAGCAUGGUAAAUUUUCUAUCAUAGUGCAUGCCUGAGACGAUCGCAGGUUAGCUGAAUAGUCUUCCUAUUUUGAAACAUUGGUCUUUUGUUUCUUUGCUGGAGUAAUAAUGGCCGAGAAGUGACUUUAUCUUGAGAGUACCUGUUACCCGAUAAAGAAGGACAGAGAGGAAUACUCUGGUUUCAUUUUGCUGUUGCUGCCACACAAGAAUCAUGGAUGUUACAAGCAGAAAACAGGAAGGGAGAGUGACUGCAUAGCUCAGGACCACAUUGGAAUACCCUCCAGCAACUUCACUGUGUUAAGAGCUGCAAAGCAGGAAUGAUUGCUGAUUAUCACAUGUGGGCAAUCUAAAGCAUGUGUAGGGGCAGAGGAAAGCUGCUUCUCUGGCCACUGACGACUCGCUGAAAUGACUGACAGCAGAUAGAUCAAUAGGAGAAAAAGGCAUACACCUGUAUCCAUAUUCAUAUGGACAUGGGAGUUCUGCAAAUCUGAGACUCAACGAAGGCAAGAUUCCUGAUGCUUAAAUAACUCCCUCACAGAAAAGAGGAAAGUUGGGGGCUGUAAACAAUUUUAUAGGAAUAGUAAAUGAUUUUUAGGGGAAAUGAAUGAGUCCAAAAA